rnacentral:lncRNA from 9 species
CCCUCCGGCUCCUUCCCCCCCGCCACCCGUGCUCUGCUCUGCGGGGUCCCGCACCCUUCCCAGCAGUUCCCAGGCUCGGUCGCCCUGCCCCCAGGAUGGUCCCCUCUACUCUCCCCUCCUCUGGCCCCGCUCCUCCCCCUCGCGUUCACAAGGCAGAGGCAGCACCAGCUGUGUGUGUCCGGCAGGCUUCUGCAUUGAGGCCGGGCAGGGUGGUGCGGGUCCUAAUUGCAGCGCCACAGCUGCUCCGGCUUGGAGGACUGAUUUUGUAAGGUGGAGGCUGCGGCAGGGGCGGAUUUCAUACCAGGUGCCACUGUGAAAUAUCAAUCAGACUUUACAAUGACAACCUAUUUGGAAUUCAUCCAACAAAAUGAAGAACAAGAUGGAAUCCGAUUUAGUUGGAAUGUUUGGCCAUCAAGUCGACUAGAAGCUAUAAGAAUGGUGGUUCCAGUAGCAGCCCUAUUCACACCAGAUUUGCCAACUCUUCAGUAAGAACCUGUUGUGUGGAGUAGGACCACUUGCCGUGCAGUUUUUAAUCCUUUGUGGUAAUUAAAGUAUAUGGAAAAAGCUAAUGUGUCUGUAUGACUAAAAAUGUAGUUGCUUUCUUGCUCAUUUUUUUUUUUUUAAAUUUUAUUUUCCCACUGUACAGCAAGGGGGUCAGGUUAUCCUUACAUGUAUACAUUACAAUUACAGUUUUUCCCCCACCAUUUCUUCUGUUGCAACAUGAGUAUCUAGACAUAGUUCUCAAUGCUAUUCAGCGGGAUCUCCUUGUAAAUCUAUUCUAGGUUGUGACUGAUAAGCCCAAGCUCCCGAUCCCUCCCACUCCCUCCCCCUCCCAUCAGGCAACCACAAGUCUCUUCUCCAAGUCCAUGAUUUUCUCUUCUGAGGAGAUGUUCAUUUGUGCUGGAUAUUUCUUGCUCAUUUAUAUAAAAAUCUUUGUUUUUGUUUUGCAGGUUUUUUUUUUUCAAAUUAGUCAGAUCCAGAGAGCUACUAAAUCUUAGUACUAUUCUAAUUGUAAUUAGUUUAUAAGAAACCAAGCGCAAAAUUGUCCUUAUGUAAACUGUUAGAGCUUACCAGUAGUUUCUAGAUACUGGUGCUGGCUAUGUAUUAGUCCAUCUUGUGUCAUUUGAAAUGUGCUUUUUGUUUGUUUGUUUGUUUGUUUGUUUGUUUGUUUAGGUCCACACUGGCAGCAUACGGAGGUUCCCAGGCUAGGGAUCUAAUUGGGGCUACAGUUGCUGGCCACAGCCACAGCCACAGCAACACCAGAUCCAAGCCAUGUCUGCAAUCUACACAAAAGUACACAAAACCUCACAGCAAUGCCGGAUCCUCAAACCACUGAGCAAGGCCAGGGAUCAAACCUGUAUCCUCAUCAAUACUAGUGAUGUUUGUUAACCACUGAACCACGAUGGGAACUCCCCAAAUAGAUUCUUAUGUCGUGCUUUGUUAUCUUUAUUAUCACUACCUAAAAGCAUCUUCUGUACUUAUGCAUUUAUAUGUUUAUUGUCUUUUUCUUCUAGAAUAUAAGCUCUAUAAUAGGAACAUUUACUGCUUUAUCAUCAGCACCUAGAAUAAUGACAUUCAAUAAAUAUAUUUUUAUGGAAUAAAGUUUUCUAGAUCUGAGUAUAGAAGUAACUGAGUCAUUUGGAGAAAAAAUAGGAUUGUCUUAAUUUUAUUGUUGAUAUUUGCUAUAUAUUCAAAGUUAUAUUCAUUUUGGUGAACUUGUAUGUGUUAAAAGUCUGAAUUAAAUAUUGGCAACAGCUAAAAAUACAUGAUUUUUAAAGAUCACUUUAACUAUCUUUUGAAUGCAUUCAUGUUUCAGAAAGAAAUUAAUUUUAUUGAAAUUAGGAUUACUGUACAAUUGAGCUGAACCAUGAGCUAUUGUAUCUUUUUUUAAAACAGUCAUGUGGAUUAUCAAGCAAAAUUCUGGGCUUGUAACUUUUGCUAUCAAAGGAAUCAGGUAAGAAAACCCCCACUGCUGAUGUUAAUGCUAUAAUACUGUUCUAACUAUGCAUAAAAAUGCACAUAUAACAAUAAAGAUUAAAUAACUUUUUA